UGGCGGCCAGAAAGCUCCUCCCCUAGUGGCCAGGGCCACGAGUUAAGGGUUUCCCGCCUUUUGCUGGUGUGCGCUGCUCCUGGGGUGGCGAAGCCAUCCCCGAGGGCCUUUUCCUGUGUCUCCUCUGGUGCGUAGAAGAGCCAAGCAACACUGCUUCUCAGCCACAGUGGUCACUGCACGCCUUUCCUGCCUUCACAUACCUAACGGGAUAUGACCCUUUGCCGGGAGCUGUAACCUUCCUAGAGUGCAGCUCUACGCAAUAUAUCGGAGCCCCACAAUACACUGGCGCCUUGCUCAUCCUGAAAUAACCUGUUCAAGGCACCGAGCUGCAGAGCGUCUAGUUUUGUUGUGUCCAAAACCCCUCACUAGAGCAGAAACAGACAUCCAGGGCCACUCUCCGCCCAAGGGCAAAGCCCAGAUCCUGUGCAAGCUUGAAGAACUGGUGAUUUGCUGGGAUGGAUAAGACUGCACCUAGCGAGAGGCCACAGAAAAGGGAGAAUGUAGCAGAAGGAACAAAGAGCCCUUAACAUGGGCAGAAGAAAGAGGAUUUUUCAUUAGGAAGUUCUAAUGGAAGGGUUUGAAGAAGAUGGGCCAUUCUCAAGUGUGGACCACUCAUUCCUUAAAAAUAAAUUUUAAAAAACCCGUGACCCAUGUGUCGUUCAGAGGUCCUAUGUACACAUAGGCCUGGAAAGAGAGGAAGGGGAGCUUGUAUAUUCUGGAGGGAAUGGGAGCAUGAAGAAGACCCUCACUCCCUAAACCAGAGAGAACCAGACAGAAGCAAUUGGAAAUUUUCUGAACAAAGUGGUGGUGGACCCAAUUUCACUGUUAUACAUUCUGUUAACAGGCCUAUGGGGUGUUAGCGAUUUGGAAGUCUGGAGGAAAAUAAUUAGAUGGUCAUAUAAUAGAGUUUAAAGAGGUAUUCCCUUAUCACUCUAAAUGCAAAAUACAACAGAAUCACCACUCUUUCUUCUCUUUCUUUUUAAUCUUAUGUUUUAGGUAUCCAGAUACUGUGUUGAGUUAGUUAUCACAGUACCACUCACUAAACAGUCAUUUCAUUCAUCAAUGAUAUAAUUUAAUUAGGGGGUUAGUAAAGGUUAAGACACUCCUAGGCAUCAUCAAUGAAAAUUAAUGCUUUACACAAAUGCAUCAAAGUGUGGGACUCCCAUUAUUCUAUUAGUAAAAUGGGGCCUCUUUCAAAUGAAGGCUCAGUGAUUACUCUUUCUUUCAUUCAUUCAUUCACCCAUCCAUCCAUCCACUCAUGUAUUCUUUCAGUAUUAGAAUACACAACUCUUACAUGCACCCUUUUUAGUAGCCAUACAGAGGCAUAAAAAUAUGUAUAAGACAUGAUCACUGCCUUCUAGGGCAUUACAUGUAUUUGAAGAGAUAAAAUACUUAGAGGAGGAAGAACUAGCUAGAGUGAUCAGGGGAGGCUUCUUAGAGUUAGUGGCAUUUGAACUGAACUUUGAAAAAUAAAAAAUAAAAAAGAAAGAAAGAAAAGAAAAAA